AAAAAAUUUAAGAAUGAAAAAUUUUGAAAAUGAGUUCUUAUGGCACUUGGGUGUCUUUUAUAUUGAAGCCUUUCUCAAACCACUUUCCUCUGCACUACACACACAGAGAAAGAGAGAGAGAGAGAGUGAGAGAGAGAGAGAGAGAGAGAGAGAUUGAAGAAGAAAAGGCUAUGUGUUCGUGUUUGUGUUUGUGUUUGGCAUACUACUAGCACUACUACUGCAACUAAAGGAGGCAUCCAAAGGGAUCGCAUUGAUCCCAAGUCUCUCAGAAAAUAAUAAUGUGUAGUUUUGGAUCAUGCUAUCCCUUUGGAUUCCUCCUUUGGUAGCUUCUCGUUUUCAGGCUCUCUUUGAUAUUUUCUUAAUUUUCCAUGCAAUAUAUCAACAACUUCACCAGCUGAAGCUUCUUGGAAAUCCAAAUUAAAAGCUGAAGAAUCACACACCCAUCAAAACCCAUGACUGGAAUAGUACUGACUUUAAUUGCCGAGGGAGAGACUGAAAUCGGGUGACAGAUAGCGCUAGAAAACACUAGAUAGCUUGGCCACAAACUGUGGUGGCCCUGAGUCAAUGACUCACAAAACCACAUGCUUUGAAAGACUUUAAUUAGAAUCCAAGGCAAAUGAAAGAUGAUACGGAAGGACUUUAUUUAUUUAUUUAUUUUGCUCUCCCCCACUUUGAGGCUCACAUUUGAGUGUCUCAAAGGAAAAGGAAUCAUACAACAUGUGAUGAGACCCUUAAAAAAAGAUAUAAAGUUGGUUUUAAACAUUUUUGCUCUAA